CUCCGGGAGUUGGUGAUGAACAGAGAGGCCUGGCGUGCUGCAGUUCAUGGGGUCGCAGAGUCGGACACGACUGAGCAACUGAACUGCACUGAUGUUUAAAUUUUUACAUAAUGCAAAGUUUUAAAAAAGAAAGAAAACAAUGGAUUGAGGGUGGCAGAUAGCUCUUGUAACACACCUUAUAAGACCAAAGAUGUAAAUCAGGGAAGACCUCACUAAGAAGUUGACACUGGAGCAAAUGCUUGAAGGAGGUAAGGGAGAGGGUUCUGUGGAUCCAGGGAAAGAAGGUCCCAGGCAUAAGCAGGAACUAGAGCAGAGCAUGAGGUGGGAAUGUGCCUGGCAGGGCAUAUUCAAGGAAGAAGGAAGUCCAGCUUUGGGGAAGGAAUGAGCAAUUGAUAAAGUAAUGGGAGGUGGCAUCAGAAAGUUAAACAGGGAUGGGUGGGGAGGAGAGGAAAUGUAUAUCCAGGGCCAAAUGCAACAAACAAUUCACACCAAACCAAAGGAUACCUACAAACCAGGACUUCCCUAGUGGUCCAAUGCCUAAGACUCCGCACUCCCAAUGUAGGGGGCCUGGGUUCAAUCUCUGGUCAAGAAACUAGAUCCCACAUGCUGCAACUGAAGAUCCUGCAUGAUGCAAGGAAGAUCAAAGGUCCCAAGUGAUGCAAAUAAGACCUGGUGCAGCCAAAUAAAUAUUAAAAAAAAAAAAAAAAAGAAUACCUACAAACCAAUAAGAAAAAUGCAGGCAACCCAAAAGAAAAAUAGGCAAAAGACUUGAUUGGGCAUUUCACAGAAAAGAAAAGGGCCAGUAAGCAUAUGAAAAAGUGUUCUACUUGAUUAGGCAUCAGGGAAAUGCAAAUUAAAAUCACAGUGUGUCUUGGUUUCCUCCUCUGAGCUACUGGUGACAACGCCCAGAUGCCCUUACUCCCUCAUCCCAAGCCAAAUAAGAGGCACACAGAGCGCAGUGGAUUGUUAACUUAAAAAAGAGUAGAUGGCAUGUUUUCUCAACUCACAGCUGCAACUUCUACAUUUAAAGAUGCUGAAACUCUGACUCAUGUUCGGAGGACGCUAGUGGAGGAGAGGUGGGUGAGCACCCAUGGCUCAGGGCAGUAGGAAAGCAGAGAGGCUGAAGGCAGAGUCCACCAGCAGUGAGCUCUGUGUGACUGGUCACCAGAAGGGUGCUGUUCACAGAGACUUACAAGCAGAAAACCUGCUCUUGGAUGCGAACACGAACAUCAGACUUUGGCUUCAGCAACAAAUUCACUUUUUUUACAACGAGCUGGACAUCUUCUGGGGUGGUCUCCCUCAUGCUGCCCCAGAACUCUUCCAGGGAAGAACCACAGGAAGUCAUCCUGUCCUCAGUGCGAUGGAUUCUGGCCUUUCCAGGGAUGGAAACUCAAGCAGCUGUAGAUGCAGGUUCUGAGCAGAACACAUCAUAUUCCAUUCUUGACAAAGGAACGUGAAAAUCUGCUAGAGAAAUUUCUUAUCCUCGAUCCCAUCAAGAGAGGCAGUUUAGAGCAGAUUGUGAUGGCUCCGUGGAUUAUUGUGACUCAUGGAUAUGAGCAACUAAAGCUCUCCGUGGAGCCACAAGGACUCUGGGCAGAC
ensembl:lncRNA